rnacentral:rRNA from 1 species
GUGGGGAAUAUUGGACAAUGGGGGGAACCCUGAUCCAGCCAUGCCGCGUGUGUGAAGAAGGCCUUUUGGUUGUAAAGCACUUUAAGUGGGGAGGAGGCUUACCUGGUUAAUACCUGGGCUAAGUGGACGUUACCCACAGAAUAAGCACCGGCUAACUCUGUGCCAGCAGCCGCGGUAAUACAGAGGGUGCGAGCGUUAAUCGGAUUUACUGGGCGUAAAGCGCGCGUAGGUGGUUAAUUAAGUCAAAUGUGAAAUCCCCGAGCUUAACUUGGGAAUUGCAUUCGAUACUGGUUAGCUAGAGUAUGGGAGAGGAUGGUAGAAUUCCAGGUGUAGCGGUGAAAUGCGUAGAGAUCUGGAGGAAUACCGAUGGCGAAGGCAGCCAUCUGGCCUAAUACUGACACUGAGGUGCGAAAGCAUGGGGAGCAAACAGGAUUAGAUACCCCUGCAGUCC